AGUGAACGCUGGCGGUAGGCCUAACACAUGCAAGUCGAACGGCAGCACAGUAAGAGUUUGCUCUUACGGGUGGCGAGUGGCGGACGGGUGAGGAAUACAUCGGAAUCUACUUUUUCGUGGGGGAUAACGUAGGGAAACUUACGCUAAUACCGCAUACGACCUACGGGUGAAAGCAGGGGAUCUUCGGACCUUGCGCGAUUGACUGAGCCGAUGUCGGAUUAGCUAGUUGGCGGGGUAAAGGCCCACCAAGGCGACGAUCCGUAGCUGGUCUGAGAGGAUGAGCAGCCACACUGGAACUGAGACACGGUCCAGACUCCUACGGGAGGCAGCAGUGGGGAAUAUUGGACAAUGGGCGCAAGCCUGAUCCAGCCAUACCGCGUGGGUGAAGAAGGCCUUCGGGUUGUAAAGCCCUUUUGUUGGGAAAGAAAAGCAGCAGGUUAAUACCCCGCUGUUCUGACGGUACCCAAAGAAUAAGCACCGGCUAACUUCGUG
rnacentral:rRNA from 1 species